GAUGAACGCUGGCGGCGUGCCUAAUACAUGCAAGUCGAGCGAACAGACGAGUAGCUUGCUCCUCUGAUGUUAGCGGCGGACGGGUGAGUAACACGUGGAUAACCUACCUAUAAGACUGGGAUAACUUCGGGAAACCGGAGCUAAUACCGGAUAAUAUAUUGAACCGCAUGGUUCAAUAGUGAAAGACGGUUUUGCUGUCACUUAUAGAUGGAUCCGGGCUGCAUUAGCUAGUUGGUAAGGUAACGGCUUACUAAGGCGACGAUGCGUAGCCGACCUGAGAGGGUGAUCGGCCACACUGGAACUGAGACACGGUCCAGACUCCUACGGGAGGCAGCAGUAGGGAAUCUUCCGCAAUGGGCGAAAGCCUGACGGAGCAACGCCGCGUGAGUGAUGAAGGUCUUCGGAUCGUAAAACUCUGUUAUUAGGGAAGAACAAAUGUGUAAGUAACUAUGCACGUCUUGACGGUACCUAAUCAGAAAGCCACGGCUAACUACGUG
rnacentral:rRNA from 1 species